ACAGAUUACGCUCAGGCCCGGGAGGAGGG
rnacentral:sRNA from 1 species